rnacentral:rRNA from 1 species
UACGUAGGGGUGCAAGCGUUGUCCGGAAUUAUUGGGCGUAAAGAGCUCGUAGGCGGUUUGUCGCGUCGUGCCUGUGAAAACCCGAGGGCUCAACCUCGGGCCUGCAGUGGGUACGGGCGAGACUAGAGGUGCGGUAGGGGACGAUUGGAAUUCCUGGUGUAGCGGUGGAAUGCGCAGAUAUCAGGAGGACACCAAUGGCGAAGGCAGAUCUGCUGGGCCGUAACUGACGCGUGAGGAAGCGAAAGCAUGGGGAGG